rnacentral:rRNA from 1 species
GUAAGGAAUAUUGGUCAAUGGGGGCAACCCUGAACCAGCCAUGCCGCGUGAAGGAUGAAGGCGUUAUGCGUUGUAAACUUCUUUUGUAUGGGAAGAAUGACAGGGAUUUAUCCUUGGAGAGACGGUACCAUACGAAUAAGCACCGGCUAACUCCGUGCCAGCAGCCGCGGUAAUACGGAGGGUGCAAGCGUUAUCCGGAAUCACUGGGUUUAAAGGGUACGUAGGCGGUUAAUUAAGUCAGUAGUGAAAGACUGUCGCUCAACGACGGAUGUGCUAUUGAUACUGGUUAACUUGAAUCAGGUUAGAGUUGGCGGAAUGGGUCAUGUAGCGGUGAAAUGCUUAGAUAUGACUUGGAACACCGAUAGCGAAGGCAGCUUACUAUUUCGUAAUUGACGCUGAGGCACGAAAGCGUGGGUAGCGAACAGGAUUAGAUACCCCAGUAGUCC